UUUCAUUUAUAACACAAACAGUAAUUAUAUUGAAUUAAUUGUGAAUUAAAACCGUGUCAUACAUCAUUCCUGUGUCUUUGUGUGUCAAAUUCGGCUGCGUCUGUGUCGUAACUCGCGAGUUCUGGGCGCCAGUGUGUUAGGGCGUGUGUGUCGGCACUGUGGGCUAUUUUUGGAUGAAAAGUGAAGUAAAAGGCAGUGAAACUAUCGUGCAAGUGAAUGUGUAAGUGAUUCACGAUGUCCCCGUGCGGUGUGCAGUGAGUGCAAGUGCAGUGCGAGUCACGAAUAUGAAGUAGUCGCCAUAGUGCAGCGCGUGAUGCAGGCGACGGGCGCACGCCUCAGCAUGGAGGCCAGCAGCGAGGCUAGCUACUGCGAGCGCGAGACGUGGGACGAGUGGGGCAGUCGCUCCUCGCUCAGCCAGCUCGACGAGGU